rnacentral:rRNA from 1 species
AUUGAACGCUGGCGGAAUGCUUUACACAUGCAAGUCGAACGGCAGCACGGGGGCAACCCUGGUGGCGAGUGGCGAACGGGUGAGUAAUACAUCGGAACGUGCCCAGUCGUGGGGGAUAACGUAGCGAAAGUUACGCUAAUACCGCAUACGAUCUACGGAUGAAAGCGGGGGACCGUAAGGCCUCGCGCGAUUGGAGCGGCCGAUGUCAGGUUAGGUAGUUGGUGAGGUAAAGGCUCACCAAGCCGACGAUCUGUAGCUGGUCUGAGAGGACGACCCGCCACACCGGGACUGAGACACGGCCCCGACUCCUACGGGAGGCAGCCGUGGGGAAUUUUGGACAAUGGGCGCAAGCCUGAUCCGGCCAUUCCGCGUGCAGGACGAAGGCCUUCGGGUUGUAAACUGCUUUUGUACGGAACGAAAAGGCUCUGGUUAAUACCUGGGGCUCAUGACGGUACCGUAAGAAUAAGCACCGGCUAACUACGUGCCAGCAGCCGCAGUAA